GUGUGUGUGUGUGUGUGUGUGUGUGUGUGUGUGUGUGUGUGUGUGUGUGUGUGUGUGUGUGUGUGUGUGUGUGUGUGUGUGUGUGUGUGUGUGUGUGUAUUGUGCGCGAGCACUGCAUUCAUAACAUUCGUCUUCACAGAUAUCACGUGCCCGCGCUGAGAGAGGCGUGUCCCGGGUUUUUUCAACUGCGAGUCAACGGUGUCGCAGCGAAGAGACUUUCUUUGACUUCCUUUCACCUGAUUAACUUGUUUUAGAAACACUCUAACCUCCGUUUCUUCCCUUACAUUUAAACUUUUACAACUUUAUACCGUAUGGACGCAAUAUAAUCCCGGAGUAGAAACGAUAAGUCUACUAUGGAUGAGGAGAGAGAGGAGGGGGGUCCUACCUCUAAGACCACUCUGUCUGGGGAACAUGGCCGCCGGAGCAAAGCUAAGAGCCCAGAGCAGCAGCAGAGAGCAGACUCCCCUGGACCCAGCUGUGUCUCCAUGAAGAGUGACCAGUCUAUGGAUCAUCCUGUUACCUUUAAAGAUGGAAAUCAGUCUAUUGAGAAGAGCCCAGAGCAGCAGCAGAGAGCAGACUCCCCUGGACCCAGCUGUGUCUCCAUGAAGAGUGACCACUCUAUGAAUCAUCCUGCUGAGUUGAAAGAUGGAAAUCAGUCUAUUGAGAA
ensembl:lncRNA